UACGUAGGGUGCGAGCGUUGUCCGGAAUUACUGGGCGUAAAGAGCUCGUAGGUGGUUUGUCGCGUUGUUCGUGAAAUCUCACGGCUUAACUGUGAGCGUGCGGGCGAUACGGGCAGACUAGAGUACUGCAGGGGAGACUGGAAUUCCUGGUGUAGCGGUGGAAUGCGCAGAUAUCAGGAGGAACACCAGUGGCGAAGGCGAUCAUCUGGGGUUGUUCUGACACUGAGGAGCGAAAGCUAGGGGAGCAAACGGG
rnacentral:rRNA from 1 species